rnacentral:lncRNA from 9 species
GUACAGGAAGAGGGCUCUGAGGAGCUGCCCUGCACCCGUCUUCUGAUCGUGACUUAGCCCCGUUUGCUGUUUUCUAUUUAUUUAUAGCAGAUAUCUCAUGCUUCUAUCUGUGCCUUUCACUUCUGAUCUCUGACUAAAGAAAAUUUCUUUUUUUCUGAUCUGUGUUUCAGUCUCACCAGCGAUUUAUGGAGUUGGCUCUUGGGCCACACUGACUUUAAACACUGAUGACUCAUUUAAACUCUAGUCAUAGGCUGAAAACAGAAGUUGAAUGAAAAGCACAACCUCCUCCAGACUGCCUUCUGGUAUUGCGGUAACGGGGGAGCUGGUUGUUGAUUAGAGACAGGCAAUUGUGAAAGUGACAUCAGAGAGAUUGGCUCAGGCAUGUGCCACUAGGUCACCUCUCCUGCACAGUUAUUUUCAGAACAAAAUACCGCAAAUAGAGACCAUAAUAUUUUUCUUUCCACAUUGUUUAUUCUGAGAGACAUGGGAACCAUCACGGAGAAGAUUCAUAGGCUUAAACUGUAAACCCUGCAAGGCUGCUUUGUUUGAGUUAAUGAAGAUGUGAUUUGGGGUCUCCUCUUCCCCAUCUCACCUCUGCUGUGAGAAAACGGCAGUUCUCUGAAAUUUAUGGGAAUUCUGACCUAAAGGGCCAGGAAGUGCAGAAGACUGGAGAAGGUGGGUAGAAAGGAGACCGGCCCCCAGUGGUGCACUUUUCCCAGGAGAGAAAUAAUGUUACCUGCAGCUCUUGGCACUGUUUCCAUGGCACUGUUUUUAAAUGCACAGAGAUUUGCUUCUCCUCUUAAAAUAGCCUCAGGCGUGUGAAAGACACUAGAUGUCAUUUAAUUGACCUCUUCCAUGUUUGAAGGCUGAUAACCUAUUUUAUCUGGGGGAAAAAACAUCUUGCAGUACUCAGAAAAUCAUUAGUCCUAAAACUAGGCGCAAUCUGCACAUGCAUAGCCCAAACAAAGUUUUAAGGGGAAAUGAUCAGUUUUGCAUUGAAAUUUACUGUGAAAAAUUUUAUUUCAAAAUGUCAAUGUUUGCCAGUUCUAUUAAGUUAACAGGGACAAGGCUAAAGGCUGAAAGAAGCCUUAGAGGAAGUCAUGAAAGCUCCAGAUUAAAAAAUAUUUUUUAAAUGGUCUCAUUGAGAAAAUUUUCAAAUGAGAGUCACACUCGAAUGAAUGAAUGCUGUAUCAAAUUAUCCGGAGACAAAGAAGAGAAGCCAUUCUACCAGAACAAAUGCAGUCUGCUUUGUCUAGGGGACAAAUCAUUCUUGCAGCCCGUUUGGAAAUGUCACUUUUAAGUCAAUGAGAGUUGUGUUCAAAUAAGAGGGGGAUGCAAGACCCUAUUAUAUUCAUUAGGAUGUGAUGUUUUGCCUCUGAAUGGUUUCUACAGUGCAUGAAAAUUCCUUUUUUGGUGGGGGAGGCAUCUAUCUUUUUAAUGUCUUAAACUGUUUUCAGGUUUUACAAAGUGCUUCAGUUUUUACAUUGAAAGGCCAGACAUGAUCACACUGGAACACCAGUUGUCCAGCUACAGAAGUUCUGACUUUCCGGGCAAGUCUUUUGAACUUUUAACUUGGUGAAAAUAGAGUCGUUGGCUUGCAUGCAGAAGUUGUCUUCUGGAAGUGAUCCAGGGCUUAGAGUAGUCAAUCCUGCCAUUUUCUCCAUCUUUCCAAGAUGUCACCACUGGAGUUCUGUCCACAACAGGGUUGAUUUGAGCUGCGAUGGUGUCCAGUGAAACAGGAAGUUCAGAGCUGAGAUUGAGCAAAACUGACAGGGAAGUCAAUUCACUGUCCCAAAUUGAUCAGAUUGGCUGGCAACUUGGGGAUUGCAGCCCAGCCAAAGCAGUUUGCCUUCUUGGUUCAUUCUGACAAACUAUAAAUCCUCCAAAACUGCUGGUAAGCUCGUGAAACCAAUUCGUUUUUGUUGCCAAUAUUAACAACUUUUUUUUGGAUUACUAAAGGAGACGACAUACUAAUCAACAGUCCAACACCAUCAAACUCUUCUGGCAGAUAUAAUAAAACCCUUUUUACAAUGACUGAUGAUGUUUUUGGAUCCUUCUGAAGUUUGAUUUUUUUUUUUAAAAAGGCAAGUUUCUCCACAGAGUCAGAAGGAUAUAAACUGGGCUGCCAGAGCUGAGCCAUCUUUGCUCCACAACAAGCAGGGCUCCCGGCAGACAUGUGCUUGGGGAGAAAGCAGACGCUCCCUUUGAUCUGUUAAAGUCUCUCCAGAAAUACACGAGGGCUGAUACCUUGUGUGCAGUCUCAGAGCAGAAACUCAAAGUUUUUGGAUGAUCCAAAGAAAGCAGCUCCUUCCAAAAAGAAAGCAAGUUUUAAAGAGGCAUGCAUUGGGCACAUUGUUGACAAAGUUCAAAUUCUCCACCUCAUUGCACAACCUUCCAUUUAGUUUUCUGGUAGAGGCGAAAGUUUAAAACAGUGGUGAGUCGUCUGUGGUCAGGAGCCUGCCUCGCUUCAACAAGCAUCAGGAAAUGUACUCCAUGUUGCUAUUUCUCAAAUAUGUACAAACAUCAGUGCUAAAUUUUUCAUCACAUGUCUAAUAAUAAUAUCAUUAGAAUUAUAAAAAGAAUAUUAAAAAUCAUACUAACAAUCAGCAUAUAUUACAUUUUACUCUGUGCCAGGCACGGUAUCAAGUGUCGAUGUGCCUAUCUUGGAGUUGGUAUUAUUAUUAGCCCCAUUUUAUAGAUGAGGACACCGAGGUUGAGAAAAAUAAUUUGCCCAAAGUUACGGAGUUAUUUAUUUAGCUUGGUAGAUCUAGUAUUUGAAUCCAGGCAGUGUAAAUCCAGAGCCUGAGAGCUUAACCUCUGAUAAAAGCUAACAUUAUGGAGCAUGCCCACCGUGUGCUAGGCAGCACUGUUCUGUGCUAUUAUUAUCACUUUGCAGAUAAGGAAAUAAAGUGGUAAAAAACUUGCCCAAGGUGACACUGCUAUCAAGGGUGGAGGUCAGAUUUAAACCCUGUCACUCUGAUCCUAGACUUUGAGCACUUAAUGUCUAAGUUUGUUCUACUGGUUAGAAUAUACAUAUUUCUUAUAGGAGUUAAUACAAGUAUUUUCAUUUUGAACUCUGAAAAGAUGGGAUCCGAAUUGCCUGGCCUUAAUCGGUUAUUCUAAGGAAAUGGCUGCCCUUCAUUGCUUAGGUAGUCUCAGGAUUAUUUUGCAGCCAGCUGGAUGGUUGGAUUUUUUUGCUGGUUUAUACUACCCUCUAGUGGUUCAUAGAAAAUUCUGAUGAUACGGCAAUUUGAUGACAAAGAAAUAGAAUGAGGUCUGUUAAGAGGAUUCCUUUGAAACAUAAAUGUAAGUCAUGAACAUGAAUUGAUAGUAUUUGUACUUUCAGUAUUUUCUGACUAAGAAAAAUACGUAAAGACAAAAAGCUACUAUGAAUUAAGUACCUCUUUAUGUGGAUAUAUUUUUAUUAAUGUCAAGAGUAUAGAUAUACAUGCAGAUAAGAUAUGCAUGCAUACGUGUGUGUAUAUGUGUGUGUUUGUGUGUAUGCAUCAUCCUGUUUCCAAUGUAUAGUUAUAUGUACCUAUAUGUUCACAUAGAUACAUAUAUACAUAAAUGUGUGUGAUUUAUUAAUAAUUUACAAGUCUUAGCUAUAGACAAUGUUUGGAGUACACUGAUGUCUUUGAAAGCCUCACGACAGCUCUUGAGCUAUCAUUUCAACCCAAUCACAAGCAAGGGGUUCUGAAUUAACACAAAAUCUUAGAUUAACCAGAAUAUUCUCCAGCCAGGUAUAGGGUCUCCUUCCCUGGUGGUCUGUUUAAGAGGAAAUCCUGCUACAUGAGUACAUCACAGCCUUACUCAAGCCUCUCUUAUCCCCCAGUCUCCAACUCUGGGUGACCUUAGGAGGUGGAAGGGCAGUGGGAACAAUCUUUCCUUGGUACACAUAAAAGAUACACCAUUUAAAGAGAAUUUUAAAACAAUACAACCAACUUCAAAAUGGCCUGCUUUUUAUUAUCACCAUUAGCUGGCUAUUUUAUUUUAUUUUAUUUUAUUUUAUUUUAUUUUGCUUUUUAGGGCUGCACCUGUGGCCUAUGGAGGUUCCCAGACUAGGGGUCUAAUUGGAGCUACAGCUGCCAGGCUAUAUACCACAGCCACAACAAUGCCAGAUCCGAGCUGUGUCUGCGACAUAAACCACAGCUCACGGCAAUGCCGGAUCCUUAACCCACUGAGCGAGGCCAUGGUGGAACCCACAACCUCAUGGUUCCUAGUAGGAUUUGUUUCUGCUGUGCCAUGACGGGAACUCCCCAGCUGGCAAUUUUAAACACUGAGAAUGAUAACAUAAUUCUAAAAUUUUUUUUUGGUCUAAAUUCUAAACAACUACUUUGAUUUCUUUUCGUUUUAAUCACACAUACACAUUUGCAAUGAACACAUUUGUGUUACUUAUCCUCUCAUAAACAUUGUGUUCUUUAUUAUAGAAGUUAAUCUGGAGAAUUUCCAGUUAUGCAGUUGGCCUAUGACACAGGCCGACUAAGCUACCAGCUUUUUUUCAAGAGUAAGUUCAUGAUAAAUUGGAAUCAUUAAGCCUCAAUUUGGGUAUAGCUGACCCACAUAUUCCUGAGUCAAACUGUAGAUUUGAAAGAAUCAGUGAUAACACAGUGAUUAUAAAGAUAAACAAAAUUCAAUAACUUUAAUUCUGUCAUUCUCUAUAACCAGACAUAUUUGCAAACUGCCAGAAUCAACCUAGAACAACAUACAGUAAAAUGCUAUACUUUAGAAUUGUUCAUUGAAGGCUGGCAUGUAGAAAUUGUGGAGAAUACCAUUAACUCUGCAAAAAUAGAGCAUAAGGAAAAUGGACAUUCACAGAGUAAUGUUGGGAGAAACAGCAAAAGACUGGUCUUACAUUGCCAGAAGUAAUCAAGAGGACAAUGUUUAAAUGUUUCAAUCAUUUUCACUAAGAACUGGACCCUCAUUCUCAAAUAAAAGAUCAAAUG